GAUGAACGCUGGCGGCGUGCCUAAUACAUGCAAGUCGAGCGAACAGAUAAGGAGCUUGCUCCUUUGACGUUAGCGGCGGACGGGUGAGUAACACGUGGGUAACCUACCUAUAAGACUGGGAUAACUUCGGGAAACCGGAGCUAAUACCGGAUAAUAUUUCGAACCGCAUGGUUCGAUAGUGAAAGAUGGUUUUGCUAUCACUUAUAGAUGGACCCGCGCCGUAUUAGCUAGUUGGUAAGGUAACGGCUUACCAAGGCGACGAUACGUAGCCGACCUGAGAGGUUGAUCGGCCACGCUGGAACUGAGACACGGUCCAGACUCCUACGGGAGGCAGCAGUAGGGAAUCUUCCGCAAUGGGCGAAAGCCUGACGGAGCAACGCCGCGUGAGUGAUGAAGGUCUUCGGAUCGUAAAACUCUGUUAUUAGGGAAGAACAUACGUGUAAGUAACUGUGCACGUCUUGACGGUACCUAAUCAGAAAGCCACGGCUAACUACGU
rnacentral:rRNA from 1 species